rnacentral:rRNA from 1 species
AUUGAACGCUGGCGGCAGGCCUAACACAUGCAAGUCGAGCGGAGCGGCGGACGGGUGAGUAAUGCCUAGGAAUCUGCCUGGUAGUGGGGGAUAACGUCCGGAAAGGGGCGCUAAUACCGCACACUAGCAGAUGAGCCUAGGCCGGAUUAGCUAGUUGGUGGGGUAAAGGCCUACGAAGGCCACGAUCCGUAACUGGUCUGAGAGGAUGAACAGUCACACUGGAACUGAGACACGGUCCAGACUCCUACGGGAGGCAGCAGUGGGGAAUAUUGGACAAUGGGCGCAAGCCUGAUCCAGCCCUGCCGCUUGUGUGAAGAAGGUCUUCGGUUUGUAAAGCACUUUAAGUUGGGAGGCGUUACCAACAGAAUAAGCACCGGCUAACUUCGUGCCAGCCGCCGCGGUAAUAC